ensembl:lncRNA
GAUUAGUUCAACAAACAGUCUCUUAGCAAUGUUUCUAGCACUCCUCUAAGUUCUUGGAUACAGCCAUGAAAAAAACAGACAAAACCAUUACUUUCCAGGAACUGGUAUUGAGUUGAGAGGUGAAGACAGGAAACAAAAUGGAGAAGAGAAUUGAACUUUAACUAAAUUAAAUAAACAUCUCAAGGACACACAACUCAUAAAGGACACUGCAAUUUCAAAUCUAGCAUAUAGCUAAUAGAAUCUUUAGCUGAACAAUAAUCAGAAGAAGCAAAUGAAAAAGAAAGGCUGUUAAAGAUUGAGGAAAACUGGAUAGCCACUACAGAAACUCCCGAGUGUGGAUCCUCUUUGCACACUCCACCUGCUGUACUCCUGGGCCUCCAAGGUGGCGCUAGUGGUAAAGAACCUGGAGAUGCAGGAGACAUGGGUUUGAUCCCAGGGUCAGGAAGAUUCCCUGGAGAUGGAAAUGGCAGCCCACACCAGUGUUCUUGCCUGGAAAACACUAUGGACAAAACAGCCUGGUGGGCUACGUCCAUGGGGUUGCAAGAAUCAGACACGACUGAGUGACUAAAUCACUGCUCUCUAUAUAUCUGCUGUAUUCCAGAGAGCUAGUAUCUUCUGGAGGGGAGCUUUUACACAUGUUUGGUGCUGCAAUUAUCAUAACUAGUGCCCCAGUUUUUGCGAUUGUCACCCAGGGGACACUUCAUAAUGUACUGGCUCUGGUGGCUAAUGGGUUUUCAUUCCUGGGUCCCUGAGGAUGGUAAUAACAGGAGAGACAAUUCUUCACCAGUUAGAGAUCCCAAGAUACUGCACAGAGAACAGACUGAAAUAUAGCUCCAGGUUUCUUGUGAAGGGUGUCUACUGGCUUGUCCUGGAGCUUUAACCUGAGGGGCAGGCUUCUGGUCUGGCACAUUCAGGAGCCUACUGAGAUAAACUCAGGGCAGGGAGGAUGGUUGCUUCCUUGUUUACACUCUCCUCCCUCACUCCAAUUGCUGGUAUUUCC